GAAAUUUAUGUCUAAUCGCUUUAGAGGCUUGGAACUCCACUAUCAAGGUGCUGGUGUCCGGCACCCUUACUACUCUAUACUGGACAUACCCCAUAAACAGCACACCAGCAGUCCGUUGACAGAUGAGAACACGGAGGCCCACAAAUGUGUCCUUGGUCACACGGCGAAUGAGUGGCAAGAAUGGGACUGAAAUUCAGCUGUAUUUGACUCCAGACUCUUUCCGCUACUUAACUUGGUCCAAUCUGUGGUUGAAUUGUACAGCACAAAUGUAUCUCUCGGGCUGACAGUGAGUUUCAGAGCAUGAGGUUCUGCUGGAGAGAAUUCUGUUCACGAAUGGUGAUCUGGCCCAGUGCCAGGAGAAGGUCACCUAACUAGGGAAGUCCAGCUUUUCCUAGGGAGAUGGAAAUGUCUGGGACAUUUUCUAUUUUCCUUUUUCUUGAUAUAUGUAUAUUUCAUACUAUUAAUAAUUUCCUAAAUCUCCUUGAUGUAGUUUCCUUCUUUGAGGAUGAAACUCAGUAACAACAACAACAACAACAAAAACAACAACGGCCGGAGAUGUGGUUCAGCGGCACUGCACCUGCCUGGAAAGCGCAAGGUCCUGAGUUCGAUCUCCUGUACCAGAAAAACCACAACAACAAUAACAACUAUCAGGAAAAACUACACAGUCUUUUCAAGUUUGUGAUGAGAUCUCUAUUAUCCAGUUUCCUGCCUAGAAAUUUGAACUUCUGCCCACCCAGUACAGAAGGACCCUUUAAUAGCUCUGAUUAGGAUGAUUCUAAGUAUUUGAAGAAAUAUAUGGUAGGCAUUUUGGUUAUUGUUGCUAUGGCCUAUAACAAAAAUAACCUUUGUUAAGCCACAAAUGGAAUUAGAUCUGAAAUCAGGCCAUGAGAAAUAGCAACUAUAUAUUUUACUUCCUUUGACAGUUAAAUAGGUUGAAAGGUUGCAGUGCUAAUAGAACUGUAGAAUACAUGAUGAAAGCUGUAACAUUUGAGUUCAGCCCGAUGUUAACCCUGUCUGCUGAUUUUGAUCAUUUGUGACCAGCAGUAAAAUGUUAGUAUGCAAAUGUGGAAGUUUACAAAAUGAUAUUAUGUGUUAAUGUGGGUAAGUUAAAUGAUAAACUAUGCAAAUUUAGAACAACAUCCAACUACUCAUUUGUGUAUACAUGUGUAUAUCUGUAUGUACAAAUAUUCAUAUACAUAUGUAUAGAUACUGUCCAUAUCUGUGUGUUUAUAUGCAUUACACAUGUAUAAGCUUCUAAUACUGAGUAGCUUUUAAAAAUUUGCAGAUCUUGUUUUUAUUACUAUAGCUCACAGUUUAAAAGCUAAAAGGGACAUAGAUAUGUUGCAAUUAGGACGAUCUCCCAAAUCAUAGGCUUCUAAAUCUUUAAGUAAACCAGCA
ensembl:lncRNA